AUGGUUUGGUGGAAGCCUUUUGUUCCUAAAAGUGAAGGACAUAUGGGGUUUCGGGACCUAUACAAUUUUAAUCUAGCAAUGCUUGCAAAACAAUGCUGGAGGCAGAUAACUGAACCAGAAUCUUUGGUGGCGAGAAUGCUUAAAACAAAGUAUUACCCAAAUGGGUCUCUACUGGAGGAAACAUCAAAGAAUGACUCCUCAUUUACUUGGCAAAGUAUUCUAAAAGGGCUUGACACCUUCAAAAAAGGUUAUAUAUGGAGAAUUGGAACUACAGAGAAGGUAAACAUUUGGAGAGACCCAUUGAUUCCAUCUAGUGCGGUCAGAAUGAUAAUCACUUCAAGAGGUCAAACAAUUAUUACAAGAGUAUGUGAACUAAUUAAUCCAGUUAAUGGGUCAUGGGAUGAAGCCUUGAUUACAGAAUUGUUUAAUCCAGUGGAUGUUCGCAGAAUACUUUAGAUUCCUUUACAUUUGCAAGGUUUUCAUGACUUUAUUGCUUGGUACCUGAAUAGAAUAGGAAAAACUUUCGUAGAAGUUCUUAUCAUAUGCAAUGGAUGCAUAGGUUUCGGGGGCAUGCAAUGA
rnacentral:rRNA from 1 species